GCCGCUGUCCUCCGCGUGGCCCGCCUUGCCUGCGAGAGGCCGCCCUGGGGGUCGCGGCGCGUCGUCCCCAGACAAAUGUUUAACGGAAAUCAGCGGUGGGAAAAGACGUUGGAGCAUCCUGUUCCAUUCCACCUGCGUUUACCGAGGCGUCCGCGGCCGCCACGCGCGGGGCUGGGGGCUUUGGGGCCCGCACGUGAGUCGGGAUCUUCUGGCCUCGAAGAUAACCCAGAAUGGAAGGAAUUACGCCGCGUAUUAUAAGAAUGGCAUAAAAGGCUCUGGGGCGCAGAGGAGCUGGAGGACAUGGGGUGGGGAACCUAGAAGGGAAUUCAAGGAGGCAGUGGGAGGUUUCUUCCCAGGCACGCCGAGAUUCCCAGGCCAUCUUGCUUCUGCAGUGGAGCCCGCUGUGUGUAAGGCUAACCUCAGUGAGCCUCAGACAAGACAGGGAGCGCUACACAUGAUGUAGGAUUCAAACUCACACCUUCACCCUGCUGCCCUUUGGGAGAACUGUAUUUUUCCUGCGUUUGUGCUUCCUUUCCAGGCCUUUGGCUGAGCUGAAUUCUCAUAUUUAUUUGUUAGAGUGGAGAGAGUCAAAGCGUUACGUGAGCUCUUGGGGGUGGCAAUUCACCUCCUUUUCCCACCUUACCUGGUUCUCCAGCUUCUUUUCUUAGGAACAGGUCUGUCCAGUUUCACCUGACAAAUUUUGAAGUUGGAAUUCACCGUGUUCUCCGCCUCACCUUUAUGGCCAGACAAGUUAUACUUCAACAAGAGGAGAGUGCAGAGCGUUGAACCUGAUCCAGAAUAUCGCUCAGACACCCCCUGAGCUUCAAAGACUGUCCCUUAUUUCCCCUGGUGUAAUUCGCUGGGCCUUAGUCCUCAAGUGAUCAUCUUCUCUCUCUCUCCCCCACACGGGUCUGCCUUGGUAGGGGAGAACAGGAUUCAGAGGGCACUGGCAACUAUUUUAAAUGCUGCCUCUGUCUACCUCACAAGAAGUCUGGUCCUCCUAGAGGUGGGUAAAAUUAAUACUUUUAUAUUCAAGGGUUGCUUACGACUACUACGGACCCUAUGAACUGUUCUCAUUAGCAUCAAAAUAAAUAGCACGGCUAUAAGGAGAAUCAGUGUUCUAUAGAUGGAUAACACAGGUGUCUCUUACUGGAUAGUGUUAUUUAUUUUAACAAGCCGGCCACUUUAACCUAACUGCUUACUUUAUGAAGACUCCGCUCAGCUUUCUCCUCAGGUCACCAGGGAAGAGUGAAAAGAGAGCUACAUUUGGACUCCUGCUAGUCACUACAAGUGUGUGACCAUGAGCAAGUUACCUAACUAACCUUCACGAACCCGUUUCCUAACCUAGAAAGGAGGAGGGAACAGGUAAUAACAGCUGCAUUGGUGGUGGCUGUGGAACAGCAUAUUCGGCAGGCUUGUGAGGGCGGCAUGCCCGGAGCUGCUACAGCCAUCUUGUGGCCGUGAGCGGGGACAUCCCCACUACUUGGACAUCCCUGAGCCCUGGCGCCUGGAUCCAGACUUCUUCAGUAAAAAGUCAACCUCCCUCGGGUCCCAGACAGUUGAACUGGGAUCCCUGGGACAUGCAGCUGAACUCAUGCGGAGGGAUUCAGGAGAAGAGGCAAUCAAGCAGGCAGGAAAGGGUCUCAGAAGACAGCCCCCUUCUGUGGGCAGCAACGUCCCUCCGUGGCAUGCAUUCUCAAAGGGGGCAAUACUGUCCCCAAAGGGGGUAAAAACUGUUUCUUGGGGUCACAGUAGAGGAAACAAGUCUUAGAGAUUACAAUGGUUUAUGGAUCUAUCUCCAAAGCGAACCCAGCAACAUUUUAUUCCUUAAUAUAUAAUUUUUCGUGUUUAGGCAAA